UGGUUCGUAGAAAGGAGAGAUGGUUGGCAUCUUCCCCGUCCAACAAAGACGGGAACGGCCUUCAAGCUUUACCUAUUAUCAGAUACAUCAGGUCACUCUUUGUUUUUUAAUCUUCUCUUU
rnacentral:ncRNA from 1 species